GGAUAUAGCCAAGUGGUAAGGCAUCAGACUUUGACUCUGAUAUGCGAAGGUUCGAGCCCUUCUAUC
rnacentral:tRNA from 1 species